AACGUAGGAGACGAACGUUAUCCGGAGUUACUGGGCGUAAAGGGCGUGUAGGCGGUUUGUUAAGUCUGGCGUGAAAGCUCUCGGCUAAACCGGGAGAGGUCGUUGGAUACGGGCGGACUGGAGGCCAGUAGGGGGAUGCGGAAUUCCGGGUGUAGUGGUGGAAUGCGUAGAGAUCCGGAGGAACACCAGCGGCGAAGGCGGCAUCCUGGACUGGUCCUGACACUCAGGAGCGAAAGCGUGGGGAGCGAUCCGG
rnacentral:rRNA from 1 species